UAUUAUACUAAAUUUUAAUAAAAACUAAAAUAUUAUAAGAUAUAUUCUUUAAAUUUAAAGAAUUUGGCGGUGAUUUAGUCUUUCCAGAGGAACCUGUUUUGUAAUCGAUAGUCCACGAAUAAUCUUACUUAUUUUUUUAAAGUUAAGUAGUUUGUAUACCGUCAUUAUCAGAUAAUAUUUAGAGAUAUUUUUAUUAUUGAAAAAAAAUUUUUUAGUAAAUUAGAUCAAGGUGCAGCUUAUAAAUAAGUUAAAAUGGGUUACAAUUAAGUUUAUAUAAAAAUGAAUAAAAAUUUGAAAAAAUUUUAGGAAGGAGGAUUUGGUUGUAAUGGGAAUUAAUAAGAGAAAAAGAUAUAAGCUCUAAAUUGU
rnacentral:rRNA from 1 species